GGCCGGUGUCUCCGCUGGGCCGCCGUGCCCUUCCGCUCCCGCCCCGUUUGUGGUGCUGAGGAGUCCCUACCGGCGGAGAGCUGCGGGGCCAAGCCGUGCAUCCGUCAGCUGUCACGGGCAGGGGGACUGCAGCCGCAGGCCCGGGGGUACCCGGCGAGGCGGGGGAUAAGCGGCGAGAUCGAUGCGGUCGGCCCCGGAACGGUGUCAUCGGCCUUCCGCUUGCGCUACCUGCGGCGGCGGGUGUCUGACGGAGCGCCGGGAGCCGGGGCAGGGCCCGGCCGGGCGGAAGUGGCGGCGGGGCAGCUGCCGACAGCGUCCCGGCGCCCGUAGGAGCCCGACUCGCAGCUGUCAGCGGGGCUCGGGCGGACGGGUCGCAUCGCAGUUACUGCUGCUGUGAAAGGGGCCGCCCACCCGUCUGUCCGUCCGGCGGUCGGUCGAUGUGUGUCGCUGGCCCCGCGGCGUGCUUUGGCUAGGCGGCGGCGCGGGCCUGAGGCGGGAGGCGCCUGCGAGGAAAGCACCCUGUGCUCUGUCGAGUGCAGGCAGUAAAGGAGGUUUGGACACGGAGGAUCUCUUGUUAAGUGCCUGUCAAACCGUCCCCGGGCUCCCAGGCGACCGAGCCGUACGGCAGCACCGCCUGGCUGUGCAGACCGCUGCGCAGAUUUGGCGUAAGCAACACUACAGAAAGAAAAUGACCCACUGGUUUCAUCGCAACCCUUUGAAGGCUACAGCUCCAGUUUCAUUCAACUUUUAUGGGGUAGCUACUACUCCAGCUGCAACAAAGGUUUGCAAUGAUUUGAGGUUAUCUCGAACACGAUUGUUGGAGCUGUUUACAGACUCGAGUUGUAACCCAGAAAUGAUGAAGAAUGCAACUGACUUGUACUUCUCACUCCUGCAAGGUUUUAUCCUUUCACUGGAUGACUCUUCCCAAGAAUGCAAGUUGAGAUAUAUUCAGAAUUUUAAGUGGACAGACACGUUACAAGGACAAGUUCCAAGCGCGCAGCAGGAUGCAGUGUUUGAGCUGGUUUCCAUGGGAUUUAAUGUAGCUCUGUGGUACACAAAAUAUGCAUCAAGACUUGCUGGAAAAGAAGAUAUAACAGAAGAUGAAGCAAAGGAUGUUCACAGAAGCCUGAAGAUAGCAGCUGGGAUUUUUAAACACUUAAAGGAAAGUCACAUUCCAAAAUUGAUUACACCUGUAGAAAAAGGAAGAGAUUUAGAAGCUCGACUUAUAGACUCAUACAUCAUACAGUGUCAAGCUGAAGCUCAAGAAGUGACAAUCGCUCGGGCUAUUGAGCUGAAACACAAUCCAGGACUAAUAGCUGCUCUUGCUUAUGAAACAGCUAAUUUCUACCAAAAAGCUGAUCAAACAUUAUCCAGUUUGGAUCCAACCUAUGCAGGUAAAUGGAGGAAGUACUUAAACUUGAAGACCUGUUUCUAUAUGGCCUAUGCUUAUUGUUACCAUGGGCAAACUUUACUGGCAAGUGAUAAAUGUGGGGAAGCAAUCCGAUCUCUGCAGGAAUCAGAAAAAUUUUUUGCCAAGGCUGAAGCAUUGUGCAAAGAAUAUGGAGAAACCAAAGGGCCUGGGACUACUGCCAAACCUUCUGGACACCUCUUCUUCAGGAAAUUAGGAAGUUUGAUUAAGAACACGCUAGAAAAAUGCCAGAGGGAGAAUGGAUUCAUCUAUUUUCAGAAGGUGCCAACAGAGGCUCCACAGCUGGAACUGAAAGCAAACUAUGGCUUAGUAGAGCCUAUUCCUUUUGAAUUUCCUGCCUUGAACGCACACUGGACUCCUGAAACACUUGCAGCAUUUGAUCUCACCAAGAGGCCAAAGGAUGACACUGCUAAACCAAAACCAGAUGAAGAAGUAAAACCUCUGAAGGAACCAGAUAUAAAGCCUCAAAAAGACAGUGGAUGCCAGAUUUCUUAAGUGCCAUAAGUGCUUUGAAUUGACUUUGAAACUGUAUUAAUUGGACUUUGGGGCUUCAGUUCUGAUCUCCCUUUUUCUGAUUCUUCUUUUUUAAUUUAGAAAACUAAUUUAUUUUAAUUUAAUUAGUAUGAAUCUGUCUUGCUUGAGAAUGUGGUGGAUUUCUAGCAGUUUAUUUAUAUCUGACUUUUUGGGUUUAGUGGAAUGUCAUAGAAUGAGUGGGCUUAAAUGUUCCUCCUGUGCCUCUAGAGAGGUGUGUUUUUUUGUGGGUUGAGUUUCUACCCACAAAUAGCAAAGGACGGAUCAUGAUUGUUAACACUUGAAGAUUUUUCCAUUAAACUAUAUGGUAUAUAAUGUCAAAUUCUGCAAACAAAAGUUUGCACAGUUAUAUUUAUUCAGGUUUUGUCAUUCAGGCUUAACACCCUGUUGUAGUGAGUGAAAAAAACCUAUAACACCCCUAUGGUAUUUCACAGGACUUUGCCAGAACUUGGAAAACUUUAAUAUCUGCUUAACUGGAGCACAACUUACAUUCUUCUGAAACUAUUAGCCUCUGCUCUUUCCUCUAUAGACUAGGGUUCUUGUAUCAGAAUAUGUAUUAAGUACUUUAGCUUGUCUGUCCUUAAAUUAACAUCCUUUACUAUCAAAGUGUAUGUAAAAGUGAUGCAGCAAGUAAUAUGAAAGUGCUUAAAAGUAGUUCAUCAUGGUGUCAUUGAUUCAGAGUUUUUGAGUUUUGAAUUAUUUGGUUAAGUUUGAAAACUGCAGACAGUUAAAAUCUUGGGGUACUAGAAUUCAGGAAGUUGCCAUGUGUAAGAUUAUGGAAAUAUAAAUAAGGUGCUGUGCUUCCAUCUGGGUAGUGUCUAUAAGAAGCUGUUGGGAGAAUAGGGAGAAGAGAUGAGCUGAACAUCUGAUAGCACAACUGGGAAACCAAACUCCAGGUUUCCUUUAUGUCUCUUGUGAACAGUGCUGUUCCUCAGCCUUUGCAGUAAUGCACUGAAAUUAGCUUCUUCUAAAGAGAACUUGCAAAAAGCCAAGCCCAGUCAAGGCUGAGAAAAAAUUUUGUAGAACUUGUGUCUUCCAUUCUGCCUACUGUGGAAAAUGUGAUAACAUUCUUCAGUGCUGAACAUGGCAAAACACCCAUGUCAGCAAAAACAUAGAAUUCUGAUUUGCUGCAAAUGCAAAAGAAUAUGAUGCUUGUCUUAAGAGAGUCUUGAAGUCAUAAAAUCAGAACUGUAAGAUCAAGUCAAACCACUAACCUAACAGUACAAAGCCCACCACUAAACCAUGUCCCUCAACAUAUCAGCUACAUGGCUUUUCAGUUGAACCUCAUGCAAUUGGCCUCAGUCUGUCAAUCCAGCCUGUCUGGGUUCCUCUGUAGAGCCUUCCUGCUCUCAAGCAUGUGCUGUACUUCACUUUACCCGAGAAAGAAACUGAACAGACUGAAAAUGUUCCUGUUUCAAGAAAACAUGUUGGCAUAUGCAGUUAUCAUGGUGAUGCUGUAACGGGAUUCCUCUCUUUGUACUGUUUGGAUUGCCUCAUCUUCCACUGUGGUGUAAUUUGGUGCUUCUGUUUGGAAUCUUUUGUGGUACUUAGGGUAACUUAGCUUGGAGGGCACACGUGUAGCUCCCUCUGAAGACCUGUGGAACAGAAACUGUUGAGGUUAACAAGAAACUCAAUUAUCUUCCUGAAAUUUCUGAACCAAACUAUACAAUUUGUUGCAGCAAAAGGUGAAGAGGCUCUUAAUGCUGGCUCUUGUGGGUGAAUCAAAUGCAGAACUCAUUGUUUCCAGUGAUGGAUUUUUCUUUCAGCCAGUUGUGCACACAAAAAUAAGUGUAAAAUCAGCUAAAUUGCUUUGGAAGAUGUUUUCUGUUUUGCAAAGGCUUACGUGGGUAGAGGAUAAUGAGCAUUAAGAAGAAUUUAUAUCUAAAAUUGGUAUGUUUCUUCUGAUGCUGCACAGGGGCCUGGGGUAUAUUUUUAUUAAGAGUUACUCAAAUCUGUUAAUAACUUGAUCAGCUGCAUUUUUAGACUUCUUGCAUUGUUAAUAGACCAGCUUAGGUUUUGACAGAGUAGAGUGUGGAGCUACUUUGUUUAUAUAGAUUUUAAUUCUAAAAAUCUUACCACAGCAGGAGCCAUCUACAUCUGCUGAGCCUGCCUCCUUUAAGGAUCAAGAUGCAGUUAACUCAGUUGCAUAAUCCUGAUUUUUUUAUUUACUCAUUUCAGAUGCCUGUGUGAGACAUACAUACAUGUCUCAAUGAAUUUUCAUUCUGUGCAGACUAGAUUCCUUUUUCCUUCCUCCUCUCAUUUGCCAUUCCACCUGCUACACACUGUUCCCUUUGUUCGCUGAUGCAUGUUUAUGUCCUGGGACUGAUUUCCAAUGAGGCUUUUGCCCAUGGGUGUAUUUCAAUAUCUGAAUAUCUUGAACACAUCAUGACUAAAUCAUUCCCAAAAAACUCCUCGGGAAAGAUUAUUUUAUGGACUUGCAAUUCUUUGGAUGCUUUCUCAAACUAAGCAGUUUGUUGGAAUCAAGUUCACUGUAAAUAGUUUAGGGCACAACCAAGUGGAUUGUCUCAGAUUAUGGCAUUACUUAAGCCUAGCUGCGUAACCUCUUAUGCCAUAGCUGUUUCAGUAAAUAUGAUGUAGUGGUUUAAAAAUAGACUAAUGGAAGAAACUGAUUCACUUCACAUGUGUUGCUUUUCAAGACAAACUUUAUUUACUUGUAGUUAAAAUCCCGUGGCAAACAAUGGAUAGUUUUGCCCAAAAAUAACAAACUGGAGACCAUUUAGUUUGCAAAGUAGAGUGAGCUGUGAGUCAGCCAGCAGUUUUUUCUUGGUUUUGUUGGGUGGGUAGUAGCAAGAAUUAUUGUAAAUAAUAAGCAGAUUAACUGUCCAGUAUGCUUAAAAAUGUGCGUGAAUUGACUGGGAGUUUCAGUUAAUCUGGAAACCAACAGCCACCUUCCCUCUGUUAUGAUUUCCUUUUGUAAUUUUUAAGAAUGAGGUAUUUUGAAUCGUGACUUUUUAAUACUCUAAUGCUGCAGGAGCCUGUUUUUGUGGCCUCUUUCUGGUUUGAGAGGCUCUUGUGGCUGAACCUGCAAAUCUUGUUGGUGUAAAUAGUCUUAAAAAAAUUGUGCCUAGUCUAAACUAGGACAAAACUGCAGUUAAAUAAAAUGCAGAGUGCUGGGCCCUCUAUUUUGUGCUUUUAAAAAUGCAGUGAUUGUCUUUUAAUCUAAUAUAAAACCAUUAAUCUCUUUGUAAGAUUUCUAUUUAAAUUAAAUACUUUCCUCCAUGUGUUUAAAUACACUUCCUCCAUGUUUUGUGUUCCUGGGUUUACAGUAGUUAAACAUUUAAUCCAACAUUUGACACUCCUAGAACUGAGGGACUAAAUAUGGUCCUUGGAUGCUGAUGUCUGCCUCCCACUGCGUUCAGUAGAGGAGUUUUGCCUGUCAGCCUAUGGAUGACAUUUAGUCACUGAAAUGUUCAGCAUGGAUAUAUGGUGUAAUGAUGGUUGUGGUUCAUACUGUAAGGAAGAAAACAGAUUCUUUUAUCUUUAUAGAAUAGAGCCAAUUUUGCACUUCAGGAAGUUCUCAUCUAGCAAUUUCAGAAUAAUAUAACAUGGUUGUAAAUAUUCUUUCCUGUCAUUUUAAUUUUGUUGCACUGAUUUCAGUACUGUGCUAUUGGUAAGGUUUUUAUGGGAAAACAUUACUAAACUGUAUUUUCAGUUGUCUGUGUAUAAAACAAACUCAUGAAGCAUAUCUCUGCCUUUAGUAUUGGAGCAACAUGGAAAGAGGCAGCAAUUAAUCUGCUUUCUAUGUCAAUUCAGAGAAAUUUAAGGCUUCAAUUCAGAGAAAUUAUUGGCUGAGGGAUGAUAUGUUUCAUCCCAUCGUUUCGUCCUAGCUCUACAUUUAGUUCCUAAAUUGAAAUUUCUGCAUUAACAUAAAUUCUGUUCAUGUCUAUUAAUUAUCCAUUAUUAAAAAUCUGUCUCUGAAGUUCAUUGCUAAAUUAUCAUAGCAGCAUAAACUUCUUUUUUUUUCCCUUUGUCCCGCACGAUCUGACCUGGUUGAGUGAGGAAUAAAGCAUAAAAAUGUAACUGGCAUGGAAAAGCUAUUGCAGCAGGUAACUGUCUCCAGAUUUUGAGCGCAGUAUAAAGACCUUUCCAUAAUGUCUGUUGGUUUCACUCAGAUCUUUCCCUGCUGGUGAUGCUCUCCAAUUCAACAAAUGAUGUCACAUGGCAGCUGAGAGGGUCCUUGAUUAGCUUUUUUUGUAGGAAGGUCUACCCCCUUUGGUGUUGGUGCCUUCCUGGAUUACAGCCUUCUUGAAGCCAUCUUGUGCUCUGAAUAAUCAAGCUUCAGUGGAAUCAGCUCUGUAUGCCCAAAGGAGGACUUGAGUGAGCAAGAUACUUGUGUGAAUCAAGUGCAUAUGGAAAUAUUACCUACAGUGAAGCACUUGAACCCACGGAACAGGAAGGGAGGAGAUGGAAUUUCCAAACUUCUAUUUUAACACAAAGGAAGUAAUUAGGGAAGUCAAUUCUUGAUCACAGUUUCUUUGUCCUGUACCCAUCAAGGUUUCUUCUGUCUGGCCAACUGCUUCCUAUCACGGAGACUUCCACUUAGCCUACUGGGGAUGUCUCAGGACUCUGGUUAAAGAGUGAGUGUGGCUAUGUGGCGCUUAGCUGCCAAAGAGCGAUGUGAUACCAUCAGCAUCCACUGAGUGUCUGCAGAAGAGGAGUGCAGCAGCAUACAGGAGAAUUAGCCGUGAAUGUCUGGAAGAAAACACAAAUACAACAAGAAAUCUCCAUGGGGCAAAAUAUCAGUAUUAGAAACACGGGAAGCCAGAAAUAUAAGAGUGACUUUGGAGACCUCACCCACAAGUGGAUGCACUGUGUAGGACUUCCCAGUUGCCAGGGAUGGCUCUCCUGAUCCUUGCUGCAACCAGGGCUCCCCAGCGACUGCAGAUCUGGAUGAUGGCAAAGUAUUAGGGCAAUUGGUGAUGUACCUUUCUUAAUCACUAUCACUGUCCUUAUGUAGUAAUGAUUAGGUGCAUUACCUUACUUACGUUCUUUGCUGCUUAAAGGUAGAGCGUAACAGGCUUAUUGUUGUAACUAAAUGCAUUAUCUUAUUUUCUGUAAUAUUUUGAAGUAGAUGGUAAAAUAGGACUGCUCUUUUGGUUGGUGGCUGUGUCCUUUCCAUCAACACCAUCAUUUGGCAAAACAAAGACCAGUUAAGGAUACAGCGAGUUUCUCCCAGAGAGCUUUUGCAAAUAAUUUGUAAAUAUUAAUGAAGUUUCAGAAUGUGACCCAAAAAGUGUCUCAACUAUUGAAGUCUAAAUCUUGCUGUUCCAAUACAUCUCUAAUUAAAGUAAUUUAUAGGCUAUGAAUUGUUAUCAGGCCAUGGCAUAACACAUCUCUUCCCUUUGCCCAGCACAGCAAGAUUUUAAUGUUCAGUAGAGAAAAAAACAAUACAAUCAUUGAAGAGAAAAGGGAGUUUUGAGAUAACGAACAUGGACUCUGUGGCAUCUACCACUUUAAGUAAGCUGUGGAGAUAGCUGGAGCUUCUGUCAUCUAGUUCCCAUUUAACUGAAGCUGUUAUUUUCUGAUGCAUGGAUCACAGAUCUGUCACUAGCUGGUCGUUUCUGAAUGAGGAAAAAAAACCAAAACCAAAUGAACUUCAUCUGUCUGAAAACACGUAAAAUUUACCUUUUAAAAUAUUUAGCAAAGCAAGUGAAUUAACACUAAUAAUAAUGAUUUUAUUAAUUCUUGCUCUCCUGAGUCGAUAUUUUUUUGGCAAACUAAAAUGUCAGUCAGUAUUUGUAAAAAGGUGAAGUGUCUUUGUAGACCACCAAGCUAAUAAAAGAAGACUUUACUUAUCUUACUUGAUAUGCUGCUUCAAUAAUCUUCUUAUGAGACACUGAAUAUUUUCCUAAGCUACUUCUCGUUGCACUUUUUUGAUUACUUGUACACAUGAAGAAAGCAAGAUGAACAUCUGGAAGAGUGAAUUAUGGAAAGUGCUACGCAAGAUGAGUUCUCUGGUCAACACUUUUGAAGAGAUAUCUAAAUUAUGCUUUUAUCUGACAGUUUCAUGGUAGUUGAGAAAAAGCAUGUCAAAAAAUUGGGUUUGUGUGGGCCUGUGUGAUUUCUGGCUAGGAAAAUGAAAUAAACAAAAUUCUCCAGUGGCUGGGUUGUCAGUUGAAAAUGCAAAUCAGUGCUCCUCUGUUGCAUGUGCUCUGAUUGCAAUGGCUUAGAGCAUGAGGUUUUUUUACAAGAGUAAUCUCCCACCCCAAAAAGCCAUUUUCUUUCUCAACUAGGGAAAAACAAGUUUCAGAAAUACAAUCACUGAAAGCCAACAUUUCAUUCAUCUACAUGCAAAUCAGCAGUAUACACCACGCUUGAGUCUCACAGGAAAGAUUGGAACUGACACAGCCUCCAAGCAAAAUGGAGCUUAGCCUAUUUCUGCUGUGAAGUGAUUGAAAGCCAUGAAUUUUCCAUCACUUUCUCACAGGCUGAUGAGUGUCUCCUUUCCUUGGCAUUUCAGUUUCUUCCUAAUUUCAGAAUUGGAAAGUUGAACUGUUCACAGCUCUUGCUGUAUAAAGCAAUGGUCAGCAUCAAUAAAUGUCCCACUAAGAUGUCAUGCACCACAGGCCUGUUUGCACUGCUGGAUGAAAUACUGAAACUGAAAUUAUUUCCACUACACAGAACUGUUGUCUUCUGAUAAUUCUGUUGCAUAUUAAGUCCUGAGAUUUGAUAAAGUGAUGCUGUGGUCAAAGCAGUCGAA